rnacentral:lncRNA from 1 species
UUCAUUUUCUAUAUUGUAUCUUGUAUUCCUGUGAUUCGAGCUGAGAAGGAGGGAAGAAUGCAGUGAGCUGUAUGAGGUUUCGCUGGUCUGACCGUGGAUACACCACCCAAGCGGCGUAAGUGUUGCAAAAGGUUCUCCUGCUUUGCCUUCAACUACUUGUAGUGGUAAUAAUAAAUGAUAAUUAUCUUGCCCUAUCAAUAUUUCGGGCUUAUAAUGUGCGAGAUUAAUUUUAUUUUUUACUUCAGAUAAAUAAUCGUAUCGCGUAAUGCAUAAAUUCGAGGAAUCUUGCGCAGGUAAACUCAAGUUGUCUACACUAUUUCCCGUUAGCGAAUAUAGUUGGCCGUCUCUGUUUGUCACAGUAAAUUUCAGUGACUCGCUGUCGCAUUCUAUUGCAUUGUUCCAUGCGCCACACACGCGCAUCUUUGUGUGACGUCCGUGUAAACCAACGCGCGCCGCCAGCUCCGAGUUUAUUAGUGUGACAGUUGACCCGUCGUCGAGUAACGCGCUUGUAGUCUCGGUUCCGCUCGGUCCAUGUACUCAUCCUCUCCGAUCGCGACGACUGCUGCCACGAAGUUCUGGAUUUUGACCGCGAACUUGACUAUAUCUUUAUGAUAUUCGUCUGCUAAGUGUCGCGGUGUUUCUGCUCCCGUUCCUGCCUUCCUUCGGUACGCGCAGGAUUUGCCAUGAUGCUUGGCGGCGGAGUUUGAAACAUACCUUUGUAUAUCGGCUCAAGAUUUGGCUCGAAGACCACUUUGUAAAGGCCAGGCUCAAUAAAAACACAGCUUUUGGUAAAAUUGGCUUAUUUCUUUGGAUGCGUGUGUGGUGACCGUUGCUCGGGUGAAGUAAGAGUCGUUGGUUUUCAAAUUGGUUGUCAACGAGUGACGUUUUGAUUUUUCUGACAUUAAGUGACGUUUGCUGUCACCACACGCGUUCCAUUUCACCAUUUAUUUAUAC